rnacentral:snRNA from 1 species
AAAUGUGAGGGUGAUCUGGAUGCAACCACUGUCAGUGCAUGGAUCACUAGGAUUGAUUCAGGUGAUUGGCUGGAGAAACAGGUGUCCCCUUCCUUCUUCACACUCUAUGUGUGCCCCUUCUAAAACCACACACUGAGUGGAAGAAGAUGACCUUCCUGGGUAAAGGGGGACCAUUCUUUUGUCAGGGGUAUAUGAGUAGCUGCUCCCUCAAACAAACUCUCAAGGUCCAUUUGUAGGGGAAUGUAGGGUAGUCAAGAUAAUUAAAAAAAAAAAAAUGAU